UCUGACGUGUACUUGUACUUAGGAGCAGGGAGCGUGAAGUCAGACUCUGACUGUGGUGUGACUUUCCACAGCUAGAAGUGGAACAAGGAAGGACAGAUGGUGGCAGACUCAGGGACCUGGCCCACUGACACAGGCCUGCUGCCCCAGACCAGCUCUGCCCUCUUCCUCCCCGCCUGCUCACGUGGUCGUGAGGCUGACUGAGGCCUGUUUCAGCCACAGCAGCCUAAGGGCACCAGGGAGGCCUGGCUGCAGCAGGAGCGGUGAGGUCUGUCCUCUCCCACCCUCAUCUCAGCAUCAGGAAAAUCUAUUCACUGUAGACUGGAGGGACUAGGGGCUGGAGAUGGGGGGAGAGCCAUGAAAACAGCUCCUUCCUUAAAAGAAAGGGUGGACAAAUCACUCCAUCAUUACUCUUCGUAUCUAGGGAGACAGAGAGAUGGAAAGAGAGACCAGGGUGCAAGAAAUUCCAGACAAAGAUGCCACACGUAAGUAUGUGCUUGUGAGGGCCGUGUCCACAGCUUAGAGCGGGCAGUCAUGUGCACAGGG